CAGGUCUCCUAAAGCAAGGGCAAGGCCCUCUUCAGUGAAAGGAAAAUCCUUACAUGCAACUUCUGGAACUUUAUUCUUGUUUUGGGGUUUUUUUUCCCCUUUCUUUUGUUUUGUUUUUAUUGUUUGGGGUUUUGUUGGUUUUUUUUUUCUUUAACCAAUGGCUGUCCUCAGCCUGCAUGAGACUGAUGCAAUAGAAUUAUUCCAAAUCUAAGGAAAAGCAGUAUUAACAUCAGUUGAUCAAAGCAGAAUAAAAUUUCAAAAUAAUCUUACCCAUCAGUUACCCCGUUCAUAAUCCUCUGUGUCUUCCCAUUAACUUCUGCCAGUGUUACUGUAUUAAAAAAAGAUUUUUUUAACGCUAAUUAAAAAGGUAUGCUUUAAGCUUCAGAAGUUAAAAUAUAAAUUCUGUUGCUUUUCUUCAGCUGCAGAUAACAUUACUUUUUUAUUGCUGUUUAGUUUGAGUAUCAUGUCCUUCGCUAGAAACAAGAAGUGAUGUGAAACAAGGCUGAACUAGUCUGAACUGCAGUGAGACUCGUUCACUGUGUUGGUGGUUCAUCAUCUUAUUUACAGCUUGUUUGGGAUAUUCUGGAGAUUGAGAAAUAUGCCUAUAAAAAGAAAGCUGGAUUGAUCCAGCUCUGUCACAGUGAUAUUGUUCAUUGGUUGUAUGUUUGUUGCAUAAAUAAGAAUUUAGUGUGCGCAGCAGAGGACUGGUACAACCAGUACCUCUUAAUGUGGGAGACAGCCCUGCCAGGGCAGCACUGCCGACCUGGUGAUAGUGUGGCAGCCUGCUGGUGAGCAGCAGAGUUCAUGGUCACUUGAUGGACGUGAACCAUCCUUCUCACCUUUCGUUCUUCAAGCAGGAUGCUUCAGAAUGGAGUGCUCUGCCCAAGCAUGCUCAUGACCAUCUCGUAGCUGAGCACAAUGCUUCACCUCAUCCCAAAAUGCUUUUUUGGCACAGCCAGCCUGAACAUUAUCACCACCAGCAGUAUCCCACCAGCAACAACAGCUACCUGCGAUCUAUUGGCAAAAUCAGACUCCCACUGUUUGCACUUUCUCUCCAUCAUAUCAUGUCUCCAGUUCCAGUUGCUGGGUCUGCAGAAGUGGAAUGGCAGGGCCACAGGCAGUGUUGUCUGUGACAGGUUAGACAUGUGGAUCUGGCCUGCUCAGAAGCAAUUUGUGUGCAUUGCUGAUACUCAGCUGAGGAUCUGAGACUGGGACUGAUCAAGGAACCUGCCCCAAAGAAACACAUCACAGGCCUGUACUUUAAAAACAGCAAAAACCAAACAACACACACCUCUACAGAAAACUUGUUUGAAUGAGCCAGGGAUACAUAUAAUGCUAAAAAAAAAAAUACCUUCCCUUUAAUAUUCAUGCUUUAACAGAAAAAGGGCAUUUUAUGUCCUAAAAUAGCUAAAGAAAGUAUCUUCAGAAAUACUAGUAGUCAUUUAAUUCAUUACAGACAAGCUACACCCAACUUUUAAAUGACUGAAAUGCAAGAGGAUGGGUUUCACUGUAUCCACUCAGGAUACUCUCAGGAAUGGUUGGAAUUUAUGGCACGAGAAAACAAUUCCCAGUAUAAAAAUCACCAAUUUACGAUCUUGUAACUGCUAUGGCAGCUAUGUUAGCAUAGGUCUAGUAAGCAGAGAAACCAGUUCUGCUAUGCAUAAAUCAAACUGUAUGUGGCUUCUCUGCUCUUAGACCUGUCUUAUCUGCCAGAAGUAGAAAGUGCACUACUUGCAGUUUCCCCACAAACCUUCUUUUGUAAAACUUAAAAAAGGGGGGGGUUUGUGUUAUUUCUGCUGCCUGGGUAUUGUUGUCAUCUUGUGAGGCUUAAAAGAUGAAUUUUGCCUGUGUUAAUUUCAGUUCUUCUCACUAAAAGCUGUAACAUGCUAGCUAGUGCGUAUGUCAGUGGCCUGUCCAUGAGUCUUCUUCAUAAAUUUCACUUUUCCUAGCCUUUCCCUUAUAUGCAGGUGAACUCUUCAUCUGUACCCAGACAGCCAGAGCAGAGAACUCUUACAGAAAUUAGAGCAGGAAAAACACCAGUAACCUUUUUUUUUUUUUUUUUUUGUGAGAAGAUGACAGUCAUGUUUUAACUUACAAACUGACUUUAAAGAUUAUAAAUCACAGUCUGUGUAC
rnacentral:lncRNA from 1 species